rnacentral:tRNA from 1 species
GCCUGGGUGGCUCAGUCGGUUAAGCGUCUGACUUCAUUUCAGGUCCUGAUCUCACAGAUUGUGAGUUCAAACCCCACGUCGGGCU